GCCAAGACCAGAAGACCUAAUCCCUAAUUCCAGAUUUGCAGCUUCCUCACUCAGCCACUCCUCAGUUCGUCGUCACUCAGCCACUCCUCGACGGCCUCAGUUCCUCAGUUUCUGCGUUCCUCACCGAGUCACCGUCAGUUCCUCACCGAGUCACCGUCACUCUCAGUCUCUCAGUCGGUCAUCCUCAUUCCUCAGCCCCUCACCGUCACUCUCAGUCUCUCAGUCUCUCACUUCCAUCGUCCCUCACCGUCACUCUCAGUCUCUCACCUCAGCUCGAACUUCAGAGUUCCGUCCUCAUCCCUGACGGUUGCUGAGUCGGAGUCAAUUUCCUCACUGUCGAUCUUCGGUCGUCGUGGCCUAGAGGUUUAUAGCCACCGCUGCUGCUCCGUGUGGCCGUCGUCGCUGCUGCCUGAUAGUCUCGGUCCUGGGCUCCUGGGUCUUGUCCUCUGACUCUGCUGGUCUCGCUCUCCAUCACGGGCUCACGGCUGCUCGUCGCCUCAUCUGUGGCUCUGUCCUGGUCCUCGUCUCCUCUGAAAAUCUGCCUAGUUGAUACUUGAUAAUGGUUGAAAUUAUUUUGCAAUGAUGCAAUCAUUGAUGUUUUGCAAUGGUGGAAAGACAACCAUCAUCGUUUUCCAACACUAUCACUAAUGGCACGAGAUUUGUUGAGCAUUCCUAUUACUACCGUGGCUUCAGAAUCUGCAUUUAGCAUGGGUUCUCAUGUUUUGAACAAGUAUAGAAGUCGUUUGUUGUCAGAUAAUGUUGAAGCGGUGAUUUGCACCAGAAAUUGGAUACGUGGAUAUGAUGAUUUUGAGGAAGAUAAAGAUCAGGAAGAUAUUGCAAAAGGAGAAGGCUAUUCUUCAAGAGUUGGUUCCAAUGAUGUUAUUGACUUACAUGAAGAUGAAAAUGAAAAUUAAGUAUUU